CAACAGUCGAAAGGAGGUGAUCCAGUGAUCUCAUUGUCCCAUACCCGUGCGGUGACCGGUUGCUGGUCCUCUGGCGAGGUCCGGGUCUGAUCCUUUCAGACGGAUAAUCGGUCGGCCGCCAAGCGGUCAGACAAUGUGGGCCGUCGGGGUAACCCGGCGGCCC
rnacentral:sRNA from 1 species